rnacentral:rRNA from 1 species
AUUGAACGCUGGCGGCAUGCCUUACACAUGCAAGUCGAACGGCAGCACGGGAGCAAUCCUGGUGGCGAGUGGCGAACGGGUGAGUAAUAUAUCGGAACGUGCCCAGUCGUGGGGGAUAACGCAGCGAAAGCUGUGCUAAUACCGCAUACGAUCUACGGAUGAAAGCGGGGGAUCGCAAGACCUCGCGCGAUUGAAGCGGCCGAUAUCAGAUUAGCUAGCUGGUGGGGUAAAGGCCUACCAAGGCGACGAUCUGUAGCUGGUCUGAGAGGACGACCAGCCACACUGGAACUGAGACACGGUCCAGACUCCUACGGGAGGCAGCAGUGGGGAAUUUUGGACAAUGGGCGCAAGCCUGAUCCAGCAAUGCCGCGUGCAGGAUGAAGGCCUUCGGGUUGUAAACUGCUUUUGUACGGAACGAAACGGUGAGCUCUAAUACAGUUUGCUAAUGACGGUACCGUAAGAAUAAGCACCGGCUAACUACGUGCCAGCCGCCGCAGUAA